AACGAACGCUGGCGGCAUGCCUAACACAUGCAAGUCGAACGAGACCUUCGGGUCUAGUGGCGCACGGGUGCGUAACGCGUGGGAACCUGCCCUUAGGUUCGGAAUAACUCCCCGUAAGGGGUGCUAAUACCGGUUAAUGUAUUCGGACCAAAGAUUUCUCGCCUUUGGAUGGGCCCGCGUUGGAUUAGCUAGUUGGUAGGGUACAAGCCUACCAAGGCGACGAUCCAUAGCUGGUCGGAGAGGAUGAUCAGCCACAAUGGGACUGAGACACGGCCCAGACUCCUACGGGAGGCAGCAGUGGGGAAUAUUGGACAAUGGGCGAAAGCCUGAUCCAGCAAUGCCGCGUGAGUGAUGAAGGCCUUAGGGUUGUAAAGCUCUUUUACCCGGGAUGAUAAUGACAGUACCGGGAGAAUAAGCUCCGGCUAACUCCGUG
rnacentral:rRNA from 1 species